ACUUUGUGAAGCUGAACAUGACCAACACAAGAUUUGUUAUUACUGUUUACUUUGAUAAUAUUAUAAACAAUUGCUAUAACAAUCCUCUCUUAAUGCAACUACAGAUCCUCUUGGCAGUUUGCAUCUUUGUUCAUCUUGCUAACUGCGCUUCAAUUUGUGGAAGUUUCAAGAUAUGAUCUGCUUAUAUUUAAGAUUCUUUGAAUUUGAGCAAAAUU
rnacentral:lncRNA from 1 species